AAUCACGUACGAAGCCUAAAGCACAACCUUGGGCCCUACUUAUGAAACACCAUUUAAAAAGCCUCUACAGAUUUCAGCUUAUCUUGAAUGUGUGAAGGUCCACCUUCUUGACAGAGUGAGCCACACUUCAGUCUGUGAAGAAGGGAAAAGAGGACGUUCAAUAUAAAUCUGAACUGUGCAAUUCUCUCUCAAGGUACAUGUUGUAAAGAAGGGAGGGAAUUAAUUCUCCUGCUGCUUCUGCCACAAGUGGGAUUUAAGUGCCACAGCUUUAAAACCCACUGGCUGAUGCUUCAAGUAACUGUGACUGUCAUUUCCACCCUGCAUGUGGCCUUGAGACUUUCUGCUCAGUUUUCAAGCAUGCCAUAAUACUGAGGUCUGAGAUGAUUUUGGAAUACCAGGAUCUCCAACCUCUCUUCCAUGGCUCCAGGCUGUGAAAUCAGUUUCAGUCUCUCUGUCUCACCCUACUGUGAAGUCAUGGAACUUUUAACCAGUUGUGUAGUUAAACAGCCCCUUCUCACUGUGCCACGAAAGCACAUCUCGCUCAACAUGCCCCCAGCUUCUGUACUGGAGGCACAGCAAGAACUGGAGGAACCCCCUCUGCCAGCAGCCACCCACCUCUUCCAGGGCUUUCCACCUGAGCAGACAGUUCUUGGUGUUGUCCCUGCUCUGGCUGAGAGGAGAGGUGAACAGUGAACAUCAAGGUUCAGUGUCACAAAGCAUCUGGCAAAGUCAGUGAACCUGGGCUUGAUACCAUGCUUUGUCUUCUGGCUCAGCUGAAAUGCUGACACAGAAAUUUCAGUAAAACAUGUUAAGUAGGCACCCAGAACCUGCUACAGACGAGAUCA